GUAUAUGCCAUCAACAGACAUAUCACCUCGCUAAUAGAGAAGAGGGUGCAUGGAAAUGGGUUAUAACAGGUCACUUCUUGCGGCCUCCAUGCUCGUUCUGGUUGUUUCCGCCGCGCUUGGAGGCGAAGCGACAAGGGUUCUCACUUCAACUUAUGAGACAGGAGAAGACAUGGGACGGAACUUGGAGUCGCAGGCCACCCCUGAUUGCCACUAUUCUUGGGCGUGCGGUCCGGUCGGGCCCAAGGUCAGCGGAGCCAACGAGGAAGGCUAGCUCUCAUCGAGCGACAAACUUGGGUUGACUGCUAUGUAAUGGAUAUUGAAUAGAUAUGUCACACAAUAACAAACAUUCUAUCCGCCAAUAUAUAUAUAAAGAGUUACUUUCUUAUCUC